rnacentral:miRNA from 10 species
UAGGUUGGUGCAAAAGUAAUUGUGGUUUUUGCCAUUGAAAAUGAUGGCAAAGAACCACAGUUACUUUUGCAUCAACUUAAUAGA